rnacentral:rRNA from 1 species
AGUGAACGCUGGCGGUAGGCCUAACACAUGCAAGUCGAACGGCAGCACAGGAGAGCUUGCUCUCUGGGUGGCGAGUGGCGGACGGGUGAGGAAUACAUCGGAAUCUACUUUUUCGUGGGGGAUAACGUAGGGAAACUUACGCUAAUACCGCAUACGACCUACGGGUGAAAGCAGGGGACCUUCGGGCCUUGCGCGAUUGAAUGAGCCGAUGUCGGAUUCGCUAGUUGGCGGGGUAAAGGCCCACCAAGGCGACGAUCCGUAGCUGGUCUGAGACGAUGAUCCGCCAAACUGGAACUGAGACACGGUCCAGACUCCUACGGGAGGCAGCAGUGGGAGAUAUUGGACAAUGGGCGCAAGCCUGAUCCAGCCAUACCGCGUGGGUAAAGAAGGCCUUCGGGUUGUAAAGCCCUUUUGUUGGGAAAGAAAUCCAGCUGGCUAAUACCCGGUUGGGAUGACGGUACCCAAAGAAUAAGCACCGGCUAACUUCGUGCCAGCCGCCGCGGUAA